rnacentral:rRNA from 1 species
CAGUGGGGAAUAUUGCACAAUGGGCGCAAGCCUGAUGCAGCGACGCCGCGUGAGGGAUGACGGCCUUCGGGUUGUAAACCUCUUUCGCCAGGGACGAAGCGCAAGUGACGGUACCUGGAUAAGAAGCACCGGCUAACUACGUGCCAGCAGCCGCGGUAAUACGUAGGGUGCGAGCGUUGUCCGGAUUUAUUGGGCGUAAAGAGCUCGUAGGCGGUUUGUCGCGUCGGCCGUGAAAUCUCCACGCUUAACGUGGAGCGUGCGGUCGAUACGGGCAGACUUGAGUUCGGUAGGGGAGACUGGAAUUCCUGGUGUAGCGGUGAAAUGCGCAGAUAUCAGGAGGAACACCGGUGGCGAAGGCGGGUCUCUGGGCCGAUACUGACGCUGAGGAGCGAAAGCGUGGGGAGCGAACAGGAUUAGAUACCCUGGUAGUCCACGCUGUAAACGUUGGGCGCUAGGUGUGGGCGACAUCCACGUUGUCCGUGCCGUAGCUAACGCAUUAAGCGCCCCGCCUGGGGAGUACGGCCGCAAGGCUAAAACUCAAAGGAAUUGACGGGGGCCCGCACAAGCGGCGGAGCAUGUGGAUUAAUUCGAUGCAACGCGAAGAACCUUACCUGGGCUUGACAUGCGCCAGACAUCCCC